ACGCUAGCUACAGGCUUAACACAUGCAAGUCGAGGGGCAGCAUGGUCUUAGCUUGCUAAGGCCGAUGGCGACCGGCGCACGGGUGAGUAACACGUAUCCAACCUGCCGUCUACUCUUGGACAGCCUUCUGAAAGGAAGAUUAAUACAAGAUGGCAUCAUGAGUCCGCAUGUUCACAUGAUUAAAGGUAUUCCGGUAGACGAUGGGGAUGCGUUCCAUUAGAUAGUAGGCGGGGUAACGGCCCACCUAGUCUUCGAUGGAUAGGGGUUCUGAGAGGAAGGUCCCCCACAUUGGAACUGAGACACGGUCCAAACUCCUACGGGAGGCAGCAGUGAGGAAUAUUGGUCAAUGGGCGAGAGCCUGAACCAGCCAAGUAGCGUGAAGGAUGACUGCCCUAUGGGUUGUAAACUUCUUUUAUAAAGGAAUAAAGUCGGGUAUGCAUACCCGUUUGCAUGUACUUUAUGAAUAAGGAUCGGCUAACUCCGUGCCAGCAGCCGCGGUAAUACGGAGGAUCCGAGCGUUAUCCGGAUUUAUUGGGUUUAAAGGGAGCGUAGAUGGAUGUUUAAGUCAGUUGUGAAAGUUUGCGGCUCAACCGUAAAAUUGCAGUUGAUACUGGAUAUCUUGAGUGCAGUUGAGGCAGGCGGAAUUCGUGGUGUAGCGGUGAAAUGCUUAGAUAUCACGAAGAACUCCCGAUUGCGAAGGCAGCCUGCUAAGCUGCAACUGACAUUGAGGCUCGAAAAGAUGUGGGGUAAUCAAACAGGAUUAGAUACCCCUGGUAGUCCACACGGUGAACGAUGAAUACUCGCUGUUUGCGAUAUUACGGCAAGCGGCCAAGCGAAAGCGUUAAAGUAUUCCACCUGGGGAGUACGCCGGCAACGGUGAAACUCAAAGGAAUUGACGGGGGCCCGCACAAGCGGAGGAACAUGUGGUUUAAUUCGAUGAUACGCGAGGAACCUUACCCGGGCUUAAAUUGCAGAUGAAUUACGGUGAAAGCCGUAAGCCGCAAGGCAUCUGUGAAGGUGCUGCAUGGUUGUCGUCAGCUCGCGCCGUGAGGUGUCGGCUUAAGUGCCAUAACGAGCGCAACCCUUGUUGUCAGUUACUAACAGGUUCCGCUGAGGACUCUGACAAGACUGCCAUCGUAAGAUGUGAGGAAGGUGGGGAUGACGUCAAAUCAGCACGGCCCUUACGUCCGGGGCUACACACGUGUUACAAUGGGGGGUACAGAGGGCCGCUACCACGCGAGUGGAUGCCAAUCCCAAAAACCUCUCUCAGUUCGGACUGGAGUCUGCAACCCGACUCCACGAAGCUGGAUUCGCUAGUAAUCGCGCAUCAGCCACGGCGCGGUGAAUACGUUCCCGGGCCUUGUACACACCGCCCGUCAAGCCAUGGGAGCCGGGGGUACCUGAAGUGCGUAACCGCGAGGAGCGCCCUAGGGUAAAACUGGUGAC
rnacentral:rRNA from 1 species